AGUUGAGUUUGGCUAGUUUGACUAAUAGUUAACGUAGCAGACGUCAUUAGGACGUGUUUUUUGAAUUCCGCGAACACCGAGUUAGUUAAGUGAAACGUACAAAAAGCGCAUUGCGCUUUUUGGUACGGGCUGGAAUUUGUGUAUUCGACCGGAGUCGGGUACGGGAAUACGUGUGGCGUCUACAGGGCCCGCCAUUUCGUCCAACGGACAUCGAGAGCUCGAGCGUGCGUUAAGGCCCGCCUGUAAAGGUAGUUAAACGGAGGAGGAGUGAAGUCGCUCGUCUAAAAGCGAAAACUCGGCGGUCGCCAAUCAAC